rnacentral:rRNA from 1 species
AUACGGAGGGUGCAAGCGUUGUUCGGAAUCACUGGGCGUAAAGGGCGCGCAGGCGGUUUGGUAAGUCAGAUGUGAAAGCCCACGGCUCAACCGUGGAAGUGCAUUUGAAACUGCCAGACUUGAGUACCAGAGGGGAAAGUGGAAUUCCCGGUGUAGAGGUGAAAUUCGCAGAUAUCGGGAGGAAUACCGGUGGCGAAGGCGACUUUCUGGCUGGAUACUGACGCUGAGGCGCGAAAGCGUGGGGAGCAAACAGGAUUAGAAACCCUAGUAGUCC